CAGAAUAGUAAAGAAUCUGAGGGUGCUUAAUUCUUUGUUCUACAUAAGCAAACCUUUAAUAUGAUGCCCAUUAGAGCCAUCCCAUGUGCAGUUUCAGUGGAUCCAAACCGGGCAGUACUAUGUAGGGGCGUGGGCAACAUUUUUCUUCUUAAGAAAGUGAUAAUUGGUGCCUCCCUUCUUCACAGCAGUGUUUUCUUGCAGCUGCAGGAUUAAUUGAAG